CCGGCGACCGGCGCACGGUGAGUAACACGUAUGCAACCUGGCCGCCACAGGGGGAUAACCCGCGGAAACGCGGCCUAAUACCCCGUGACGCCACCGGAGGGCAUCCUCCGGUGGCCAAAGGAGCGAUCCGGUGGCGGAUGGGCAUGCAGCGCAUUAGCUAGACGGCGGGGUGACGGCCCACCGUGGCGACGAUGCGUAGGGGUUCUGAGAGGAAGGUCCCCCACAUUGGAACUGAGACACGGUCCAAACUCCUACGGAAGGCAGCAG
rnacentral:rRNA from 1 species